rnacentral:rRNA from 1 species
GAUGAACGCUGGCGGCGUGCCUAAUACAUGCAAGUCGAGCGAACAGACGAGGAGCUUGCUCCUUUGACGUUAGCGGCGGACGGGUGAGUAACACGUGGGUAACCUACCUAUAAGACUGGGAUAACUUCGGGAAACCGGAGCUAAUACCGGAUAAUACUUCGAACCGCAUGGUUCGAUAGUGAAAGAUGGCUUUGCUAUCACUUAUAGAUGGACCUGCGCCGUAUUAGCUAGUUGGUAAGGUAACGGCUUACCAAGGCAACGAUACGUAGCCGACCUGAGAGGGUGAUCGGCCACACUGGAACUGAGACACGGUCCAGACUCCUACGGGAGGCAGCAGUAGGGAAUCUUCCGCAAUGGGCGAAAGCCUGACGGAGCAACGCCGCGUGAGUGAUGAAGGUCUUCGGAUCGUAAAACUCUGUUAUUAGGGAAGAACAAACGUGUAAGUAACUGUGCACGUCCUGACGGUACCUAAUCAGAAAGCCACGGCUAACUACGUG